rnacentral:lncRNA from 1 species
GAUUAAAUAUGAACGAUAUUGGUCACUUCUGGUGAGAAUAUAGAAGAGAAAAAGAAUAAGGAGAUCGAUCGACUAGUUGUUAGACUAAAACUUUCAUUGUUAUUUAUGGCUAAUUAGCAACAUUAAUAAUAGUGUAAAUUACUUGGAAAUAUUUUCUUUACUUUGAUGAAUUAAUCCACACCCAUAUCAAUAUAUAUUCUGCAUGCAUUCAUAAACACUAGGGUUUUCCACUGUUCUUUUUCUCUUACAGCUUCUUUCUAAGCUUGAAGAACACGGGUAUAUCAUAUAUGUUCUAGAAUAUCAAAUGAUGUGUUAUGAUCAAAUUCAAUGGUGUAGAAGAAGAGAUGAUGGGGGUGAUGCAGACAAUAAUACGCGGAUGAUAUGUUGGUCAAACACAUGGACUGGAAUAAGAAAAGAGAGAAGGAUAAGAAUCACGUGGCGGCCCAGCGAGGGGUCCAUUUGGAUCAGAGAGGAUUCGCUUUACUAGCUCACUCCCCUCCAUCUUAACCUAAAAGUUGCUUUUGACUUUCC